CUUCAAUGCGUGACAUAUUACUCUAUAUAGCAUUAUUCUUUUGCAGAUGAAAAAGUCCUAAAUCUGUGUUUUAUUUGGGAGAAGAAAUAUUCUGGUACCGGAUUGGUUGCAGCGAUAGUUCUGUGCUCUCCUGUUUCCAUAAUGGAAUUUAGCAAAAUAUAUGCCAACAAUCUUGUGAUACAGUCACAAAUGAUUGAGAUAUGCCUUGAGAUAAUAUUUCUCAAGGAUUGUUAUUUUGUCGUAUUUUAUUAAAAAAAAAAAGUAACCCACCAAGCUGCAUUACCACCAAUCAUCUUCGGGCUAAACUUGCCUCAUGAGUUUAAACUCCAAGGAAUUUAAAGCUGUAUGUAAUGCGUAAUCAGGGUACUCAACAGCAACUUUAGUCUGGUGUGAUUACCCUGGGGUCAGUUCCAUCACUAUUUUCCUCUUUUAGUAAAAUGUGUGCACAAAUAUAUAGAAUAUUUGACCACAAAAUAUUUUAGCAUAUAGUCC